rnacentral:rRNA from 1 species
UACGUAGGGGGGCAAGCGUUGUCCGGAAUCAUUGGGCGUAAAGAGCGUGUAGGCGGCUCGGUAAGUCCGCUGUGAAAGUCCAGGGCUCAACCCUGGAAUGCCGGUGGAAACUGUCGAGCUAGAGUCCGGAAGAGGCGAGUGGAAUUCCUGGUGUAGCGGUGAAAUGCGCAGAUAUCAGGAGGAACACCGGUGGCGAAGGCGGCAUUCUGGACCAUAACUGACACUGGAGAGACGAAAGCCAGGGGAGCAAACGGG